UACAAUGACUCUCGGCAACGGAUAUCUCGGCUCUUGCAUCGAUGAAGAACGUAGCGAAAUGCGAUACUUGGUGUGAAUUGCAGAAUCCCGUGAACCAUCGAGUCUUUGAACGCAAGUUGCGCCCGAAGCCACUAGGCCGAGGGCACGUCUGCCUGGGUGUCACA
rnacentral:rRNA from 1 species